UAAUACAGAGGGUGCGAGCGUUAAUCGGAAUUACUGGGCGUAAAGCGCGCGUAGGCGGCUUUUCAAGUCGAUUGUGAAAUCCCCGGGCUUAACCUGGGAACUGCAGUCGAGACUGUCUAGCUAGAGUAUGGGAGAGGGAAGUGGAAUUUCAGGUGUAGCGGUGAAAUGCGUAGAUAUCUGAAGGAACAUCAGUGGCGAAAGCGACUUCCUGGACCAAUACUGACGCUCAUGUGCGAAAGCGUGGGGAGCAAACAGGAUUAGAUACCCUGGUAGUCCACGCCAUAAACGAUGAGAACUGGAUGUCGGAGGGGUCUGCCCUUCGGUGUCGUAGCUAACGCGUUAAGUUCUCCGCCUGGGGAGUACGGCCGCAAGGUUG
rnacentral:rRNA from 1 species